rnacentral:rRNA from 1 species
AUCGGUUUUGGAUGGACUCGCGGCCUAUCAGCUUGUUGGUGAGGUAAUGGCUCACCAAGGCGACGACGGGUAGCCGGCCUGAGAGGGUGACCGGCCACACUGGGACUGAGACACGGCCCAGACUCCUACGGGAGGCAGCAGUGGGGAAUAUUGCACAAUGGGCGCAAGCCUGAUGCAGCGACGCCGCGUGAGGGAUGACGGCCUUCGGGUUGUAAACCUCUUUCAGUAGGGAAGAAGCGAAAGUGACGGUACCUGCAGAAGAAGCACCGGCUAACUACGUGCCAGCAGCCGCGGUAAUACGUAGGGUGCGAGCGUUAUCCGGAAUUAUUGGGCGUAAAGAGCUCGUAGGCGGUUUGUCGCGUCUGUCGUGAAAGUCCGGGGCUUAACCCCGGAUCUGCGGUGGGUACGGGCAGACUAGAGUGCAGUAGGGGAGACUGGAAUUCCUGGUGUAGCGGUGGAAUGCGCAGAUAUCAGGAGGAACACCGAUGGCGAAGGCAGGUCUCUGGGCUGUAACUGACGCUGAGGAGCGAAAGCAUGGGGAGCGAACAGGAUUAGAUUCCCUGGUAGUCCAUGCCGUAAACGUUGGGCACU